UACGUAGGCAGCGAGCGUUGUUCGGAAUUACUGGGCGUAAAGAGUGUGUAGGCGGUGCUCUAAGUUCGGUGUGAAAUCUCCUGCUUAACUGGGAGGGUGCGCCGGAAACUGGAGUGCUCGAGCGUGGGAGAGGAAAGCGGAAUUCCUGGUGUAGCGGUGAAAUGCGUAGAUAUCAGGAGGAACACCUGCGGUGUAGACGGCUUUCUGGACCAUUGCUGACGCUGAGACACGAAAGCGUGGGUAGCAAACAGG
rnacentral:rRNA from 1 species